ACUGCGGCCGGGACGCGGCCCCGCCCAGGCGAGCGGCGGGUGGCUCUUACCAGCGGGAACGCCAUGGGGCCGGUGUGGCCCUGCGGGGCUGACGGGCUGACCGGCCAGCCGGCGGGCGAGAGACGCGCACGCACGUGGGCACUAUUUUUGCAGCGGGCCGCGCGCAGCCCCGCACCCCGGCAGCUUAUGAAGCUCCUACGAGCCGCUCCUCGGAGCCGCCCCCCGGCCGGAUGCGGAGCACCUGUGUCGGCCCCGCCCGGGCCCUCGCCUCCGCCCCCUCGCGCCCCGCCCCUCCUAGCAGGCCGAGCCGAGGAGGGCUCCGCCGCCCACCCGGAACCCGGCGGGGACUGCCGCCGCUGCUAGCCACAGCUGCCCCCUGGGGGGCCAGAGACCUAAGCCUGAGCGCGCCAUCACCUAAGUGACCCUUGCCGAGUCACUGUCUGCCCUGGGCCUCAGUUUCCCUCUUAACGAAAGAGGGCACGAUUUACAAGCCCCUGCGAGCGGCGGCGAUCGCUUCGUCAGUAGAGCCUCGUGUCCGCGCUCCUUCUCUUCCAGUGAUCUCUCCAGGGCGAGAGCCUGCCCUGGCAUCCUUGGUCGGAACUGUAGCCCCUGGGCUCCAGGAGGCGCACUCACUUUAGACCCUCUGCUCCGUGCGCUGCAGAGGGGGCCGCGAGAGUCAGGAAGUUCCAGAAAGUUCCAAAGACAUCACUGGUCCUCUUUGGACCGGAGUUCUCCGGAGAAACCGCUUCCGGCGCUCCUGACACACUGAGAUAGAAAGUUUCACAGAAAUAGGGCAAGGGAUAGGGCGAGGGCUCCAGGGCAGGCGUCCUAGGGCACCUGGCGCAGGGGCGGACCGGAAACCCCAGGCAAACGCAGAGUCGGAGAUGGCAUUCCAGGCGGAAGAUCAAGCAAAGGCAGAGAGGGAGGACGGCACCGAGCGGCUCCCUCUGACCAGGACUGAGGAUGAUGCGACCUGAUACCGCCGGAGGGAAGCCUGGGCCCGCUGAGCAAGAUAAGAACCUGAAACCCAGAAUAGUGCCCAAGGGAGCGGGUGUCUGGAGGCCCUGUCAUAUUUCAAAACUGUCAACCAUAAGAAAAUGAAGGCAUCUUUCAAGAGACUUGGAACAGAAACUUCUGCUGCCUAAAAUCUCUCUCCCUAAACUUUCUGUUGCAGAUGAGACUGAAGCUCAAAGAAGUUAAGUAACUUGCCAAAAGACUCCCAGCUAAAAGUGUGAGAGCAAAGACUCAAACCAAGGCAGUCUUCUGGUUUCAGAGCCUGAAGUCUUAACCAGGUGAGAAUAAAACUUCCAGCAUGCUUAUGUGUGUGCUUAUCUGUGAAUGACCCCAGAGCUGACUGCAGAUGUUGAGAGAAGAGGUAACUUUGACCAAAUGCAGUCAUGACCUCAGGUGUGGGCAAGUCCUUGUUCCCUACCUGGACUUGGCUAGGCCUGCAGGUCAUACAGGAAGAACAGUCCCUCUGAAGGUGACCAUAAUCCACAGGGCAGGGUGUGGAAAGUGACAGAGGUGAAUUUAUUAAAUGACUUGGUCAAGUCCCCACAGCUGGUCACUGGCAGAAGCAGCAGAAACAAAUAGGCAGCAUUAUCUAUUCUCCCAGUCAACAAACAGCCUUUGAGCCCAGCUAUGCCUGGCACUGUCUCUGCAGUCAAGCCCCAGACUUACAAUACUGAUUUUAAGUCCAACUAUAUAAUUAGCUGGACUACAUUUUAAAUAUGUGUACUAGGGAAACAGGAGGGACCC
rnacentral:lncRNA from 1 species